rnacentral:rRNA from 1 species
CGGACGGGUGAGUAAUGUCUGGGAAACUGCCUGAUGGAGGGGGAUAACUACUGGAAACGGUAGCUAAUACCGCAUAACGUCGCAAGACCAAAGAGGGGGACCUUCGGGCCUCUUGCCAUCGGAUGUGCCCAGAUGGGAUUAGCUAGUAGGUGGGGUAACGGCUCACCUAGGCGACGAUCCCUAGCUGGUCUGAGAGGAUGAUCAGCCACACUGGGACUGAGACACGGUCCAG